CUCCAGACUUUUAGACUAAUAUG
rnacentral:piRNA from 1 species